rnacentral:rRNA from 1 species
GCCAUGCCGCGUGUGUGAAGAAGGCCUUUUGGUUGUAAAGCACUUUAAGCGAGGAGGAGGCUACUGGUAUUAAUACUACCGGAUAGUGGACGUUACUCGCAGAAUAAGCACCGGCUAACUCUGUGCCAGCAGCCGCGGUAAUACAGAGGGUGCGAGCGUUAAUCGGAUUUACUGGGCGUAAAGCGUGCGUAGGCGGCUUUUUAAGUCGGAUGUGAAAUCCCUGAGCUUAACUUAGGAAUUGCAUUCGAUACUGGGAGGCUAGAGUAUGGGAGAGGAUGGUAGAAUUCCAGGUGUAGCGGUGAAAUGCGUAGAGAUCUGGAGGAAUACCGAUGGCGAAGGCAGCCAUCUGGCCUAAUACUGACGCUGAGGUACGAAAGCAUGGGGAGCAAACAGGAUUAGAUACCCUGGUAGUCCAUGCCGUAAACGAUGUCUACUAGCCGUUGGGGCCUUUGAGGCUUUAGUGGCGCAGCUAACGCGAUAAGUAGACCGCCUGGGGAGUACGGUC